AUUAUCGUACUGAAGAAAACAAUUCUAUAUUACCUAUAUUCGUUUCAUUUUCAAAUUUCCAAUUGUUACAAGAAUUGUUAUAGUCAUUUUUGUUGAACUAGGAUGCAAAAAAAAUUAUUCAUACAUUGUAUUGGGUUGUCUCUUAAAUGUCUUUUAACCCCAGAAUGCCUACUCCUUCCUUUUUUGAAAUGACACUUACUGAAGAGCCCUGGCAGUUACGGAAUAUCACAGAUAUUCUGCUCACCUGAUUGUUUCUAAAUGUUAACUUGUGCCUCUACCCCCUCUCCAUUUCCUGUCAGCUGGAGGUCUAGAUGCUUGGUUAGAUUCCAGUCAACAAUUUCUUGGUGAGAUACUGCUGUGUUCUUGGUAUCAUCUUAGGAAGCACAGAAACAUCAGGCCGUCCCAUAAGUGACACUAGGUUUGAUCACUUGAUUAUGGUGGCGGCAGUCAGAUCUGUCAAUUGUGAAGAUUGGUGUUUUCCAAAUUAGGCGUGGUGGCUCACAUCUGCAGUCCCAGCUACUCAGGGGUGCUGAGGUGGGAAGAUCACUUGAGCCUGAGAAGUCGAGGCUGCAGUGAGCUGUGAUCACAUCACUGCACUCCGGCCUGGGGGACAAAGCGAGACGCCCCUCUCUAAAAUAAGUAAAGAUUGAUGUUUUCCUUUUGCAAGUGACCUGUGCAGCAACAUUUGAGUGUUGUGCUAAAAUUCUGUUCCUCAGCAGCCUUUUACCUGAAAGGUUUUGGCAUCCAGUGAUCUUUGCCUGGUCAGUUAUCUCAUUAAUGGGUUAAAAUGUUGGAACCUCUCAUGGCACAUGCUGAGCAGCCAGUAGUCUUCAGGACAAUGGAUUCUCUAGGUAAACUUGUCACCACACUGUUCCAAGUGAGGCUGGAAGACAGUUUGUCAACACCAUAUUUCAGGCUGGAGGUGGAAAGAAGCUGUUGAGGAAACUCCCUUUGCAAGCCCUACUCCCAGCUCCCAGCUGGUGAGACAAUUUACAUGGAAAAACCAUGAAUACAACACAAGAUCUGAAGUGUCUCCACCCUCUAGGCACCUAGGGAAAGCUUGGAUUUGCUUUGGUACACUGUCUAGUUGUACAGGAUCCCUGCAACUAGUAGUCAGACCUGCCUUCCUAACAAACCUGCUGAAAAAGGUAGUAAUAGUUAAUGCAAAGAUGAAAAACACUGGUCUGCCAAAUUAGAAACAACUCCGCAGACCUAACUGGCACUUAUCAUCAUGCACUAUACAUUCAAAUAGGAAAGAACAAAAGAACAUACACAAAAUAUCGGGAACACAUUGUUAACUGUGUCUACAAAGCAGGGUGAGGACAGGGCACGCGGCUCAGGGCCUAUAAUCCCAGUACUUGGCAAGGCCAAGGUGGGAGGAUCGCUUGAGGCCAGGAGUUGGAGACAAGCCUGGGCAACGUGAGACCGUCUCCACAAAAGAAGUUUUAAAAAUUAGCUGGGCAUGGUGGUGAGCUCCUGUAGUUCCAGGGACUUAGGAGGCUGGGGAGGGAGAAUUGCUUGAAGCCAGGAGGUCAAGGCUGCAGUGACCUAUGACGGCACCACUGCAAAAAUAAAGGCAGGCAGGAUGAUGUGUAAGAAUGGACAGAAUUUCAAAAUCAAAUUUCUAGAGAGCUUUUCAGAAUAAAAAGUUUGAAGAGUGAGACGGCAUCCUAAGAUAUUUCAUUUUAUAUUACAUAGUUAAGUUUCAAAUUAUUUUCUGGAGGAAAAUUAAACACCUUCUAAAAACCUAAAGGCAGAUGAAGCUCACAGGUGAAAGUCACUCCACUCUGGGGCUCCAGAAGGCUGAGUCUUAGUCAACAUGACUUUUUUUUUCUUUUCAGAGACAGGGUCUCAUUCUGUCACCCAGUCUGAAGUACAGUGGUACAAUCUUGGCUCACUGCACACCCCGCCUCCCAGGCUCAAGCGAUCCUCCUCCAUCAGCCUCCCGAAUAGCUGGGGCUACAGGCAAGUGCCACCAGGCUCAGCUACUUUUUGUAUUUUUUGUAGAGAUGGGGUUUUGCCAUGUUGCUCAGGCUGGUCUCAAACUCCUGGGCUCAAACGAUCCUCCUGCCUCAGCCUCUCAAAGUGCAAGGCUUAUGGGUGUGAGCCACCACACCCAGUCUUCUACAUGGUUUUUCUGAAAGCUCUGAUUACAUGCUGAAUUUACAAAUGGUGGAAAACAAGGAGUAAUGGUUAAUAAGCUGAAUGGUACAGUACAAAUUACACAAGGAACAAUACAUGAAUUAGAAAUUUAAAAUUUAGUUGAAAUAUAAAAUAAAUUAUUGCCAGAAACACAAAGGGCACAUGAAUACAAUAGGGGAAACAGCUUAAUGGCUUUCUGUUCUCUGAAAACUCAAGGCUCCAAGUUACUGGGCUUGGGCAAAGUCACACAUUUUCUCAACAAAGGCCAACUGCUGACAAUCCAAAUUUUAAAAACACUGCCAUUAGGCCAGGCGCAGUGGCUCACGCCUGUAAUCCCAGCACUUUGGGAGGCUGAGGCAGGUGGAUCACGAGGUCAGGAGUUCCAGACCAGCCUGGCCAACAUAGUGAAACCCCAUCUCUACUAAAAAUACAAAAAAUUAGCUGAGCGUGGUGGAGGGCGCCUGUAAUCCCAGCUACAGGGGAGGCUGAGACAGGAGAAUCGCUUGCACCUGGAAGGCGGAGGCUGCAGUGAGCCAGGAUCGCGCCACUGCACUCCAGGCCAGAUGACAGUGUGAGGCUUCAUCUCAAAAACGAACAAAAAACCCACUGCCAUUAAAAGCUUUAUUUUAUUUACUUAUUUUUUAGAGACAGGGUCUUGCUAUGUUACCCAGGCUGGCCUUGAACUUCUGGGCUCCAGCCAUCCUCCUGCCUCAGCCUCCUGAGUAGCUGGAACACAGAUGUGCACCACCACCACACGCAGGAAGAGCUUUAUUUUAGAAAGUACUCUUCCUACAUGUGAAGUCUCCAAGAAUAAAGAAAAGAAAGUACUCGUCUUUGGCAAACAGUGGAGAUCUUCUGAACCUUUUUUGAGAUGGAGUUUCACUCAUCGCCCUGGCUGGAGUAGCAAUAGCACAAUCUUGGCUCACUGCAACCUCUGCCUCCCGGGUUCAAGCAAUUCUGCUGCCUUAGCCUCCUGAGUAGCUGGAAUUACAGGUGCCUGCCACCAGGCCCGGCUAAUUUUUUUUUUUUUUUUUAGUAGAGAUGGGGUUUCACCAUGUUGACCAGGUUGGUCUUGAACUACUGACCUCAGGUGAUCCACCUGCCUCAGCCUUCCAAAGUGCUGGGAUUACAGGCAUGAGCCACCGUGCCCGACCGAGUUCUUUUUUUAAUGAAAAGAAUUUGACAUUCCUGCAGUAGAUAUAAGGCAGCAGAAACAGGAACUGUGCAGGCAUGUGUAACAAGAAUGCAGAUGCCAUUUAUU
rnacentral:lncRNA from 1 species